UGCUGCUCCGCGGUUGGGGGCUCUCUGGGGGAGCAGUGCGCUCCACUGUCAGAGGCCGCUUUCCUGAGGUCGAAAUCUCUUCCCUAUUUGUACAGGAUAUACUCCAAUGCAAAAUUAUAGAAGCACAAUUCAAGCAGCCAACUGAAGGAAAUACGAAACUGAAUGGAACAAACUUUCACUAAGGGUCUAAUCCCGAAAAUUGUUUCAUAUGCUCUGACUGGAUUACAGCUAGCAUUCUAGAAACAAAAUGUUUGUUGCGAUCUGCAGACACUGCCACUAGGAUGGCAAAAGAUUAAUAUCAUUACUGAAGUAGGAUCCUGCUCUCAUGCUGUGAAACAAACUGAUGUAAACUGUUCUUUAGGACAUGCAAUAAAAGGCCUGUGGUUACUAACGACAGAGCUGGAAGAGCAAGCGUGAAGCUGAUCACUGACUCUCCGAGAAUAAGCCCGAAGGCAUCAAAGGGGUAGAAAACCAGAGAAACACCCAUGAAGAUGUUCAUGAACUCACUAGAGGAAGCAAGGUGAAAGCAGCACAAGCAGCACUGAGGAAAGCUCUUUUAUGCACCUGUUUCGACAUCUUGGCAUCCCCUUUAUGCUCUCUCUCCCUCAUCUAAUUGACCCAGGAACAAAGGAGCUUCACAGGUGAGGAGCAACAAGACCAGUAACUGCAGAGGAAAUACCGGAAAGCAAGCAUUCUGCAUUGAGUACAACGACAAAUGCAGUGAUGUGGGGAAAGGACAUGGGGAAAGUGCAAAUGAACCAUGGAGCACACAUCUUCCUUGAGGACUUAACAUUUUCAGACCUCACCUCUCCCAAAAGCCCUAGGGGUUGUGGUUCUUUUGCUCCUGGCCCUGUAAAAGCAUCCUCUUGAAAAAUUACCAUAAAUACCCCAAAAUAAUUCCUCAGGACCAUCAGCAAAAGUCUUGUUUGUCCAUAAAGGGAGAAAAGUAAUUCUGAGGAAGGGUUUUUGACCCUUCCAAGAAGUCGUUAGAGAGUGAGUUACUCAUUGCAUUGCCUGUAAUAUUGCACAGAGCUUUCUCAAAUCUUCCCAGCACGGUUAUUUCAGGGGUCAUGCUAAAAAUGGGUUAGGGAAUAUAUAAUUGCAGUGAAGCCCAUGCAACACAGUAUGCCCAAUAAAUUAAACCAGCAUUGCUUGCAGGCAUUGGGCUUUGGAUUCUCAUUCUCUGGUUAAAUCA